CCUACGGGAGGCAGCAGUGAGGAAUAUUGGUCAAUGGACGCAAGUCUGAACCAGCCAUGCCGCGUGCAGGAAGACGGCUCUAUGAGUUGUAAACUGCUUUUGUACGAGGGUAAAUCCCGAUACGUGUAUCGGGUUGAAAGUAUCGUACGAAUAAGGAUCGGCUAACUCCGUGCCAGCAGCCGCGGUAAUACGGAGGAUUCAAGCGUUAUCCGGAUUUAUUGGGUUUAAAGGGUGCGUAGGCGGUUCGAUAAGUUAGAGGUGAAAUCCCGUGGCUCAACUCCGGCACUGCCUCUGAUACUGUCGGGCUAGAGUUUAGUUGCGGUAGGCGGAAUGUAUGGUGUAGCGGUGAAAUGCAUAGAGAUCAUACAGAACACCGAUUGCGAAGGCAGCUUACCAAACUACGACUGACGUUGAGGCACGAAAGCGUGGGGAGCAAACAGGAUUAGAUACCCUGGUAGUC
rnacentral:rRNA from 1 species